rnacentral:lncRNA from 1 species
AAUAAUUUAAUUAUUUUGAAAAGAAUGAAAAAACCGGAGGGAGUAUUAAUUAAAAUAAGGUUGAUUGCUUGAAAGUGAGGUAUUUUCUCGAAAGUAUGCGAGUCCAUGUGUAAUGUGCCAUAAAAUUUCUGUAUCGAACGAAAGUAGGUAAGGAGUAGCCAUCACGUGUUCAAUAAAAAAGCAAAAGACCCACUCACAGUUGUUACAUGUAUCCAUCGCUCUUUACUAAGAAAAGGAAAAUGAAAAUUAUGUUUGUACUUUGUAUGAAAACGCAUCUUUCUCAUAUCCAAAAUGAUUUUUUAAGUUUUAUAUUUUAAAAUACAUCUUCCCCCCCCCCCGCCCGCACCCCAAAAAAAAAAAACUGCUAAAGACGUGGAAAAACAGAAAAUAAACAUUGGUGCACUGGCUUGGAUCCUUCCAUAUUGAACAAGAUUGCCAAAAACAAAAAAAGAGGAAACAUUUUCUUUUGUAUUUCCUGCUGUCACACACUCGUAUAGCAUAUCUGUUAGAACAUGUAAGGCGAAAGCAAUAAUUGAUCAGAAUCAACAACUUACCUAAAAAAAUUAGAUAACAUAAGUAAAUACAGGUUUCAACAAAACUAUUAACCUUUUGAAGCUUUUACAAAUAGUCGUCCAAAACAAUGCUCCCCAGGACUGUGAUCUUGUGCUAAUUUCUUAUUUACUUUUGUAAUCAAACUUGUGUAGGCAAGUGAUUUUGUACUUCAAAGAAGGAUCCCAUUCUUUCUGUAAACUCACUUCUAUUUAUCUCAAUCUUCCAUUCAAGAAGGAAAGGGAAGAGACAGAUGUUUCAGCCUCACUAUUAGAAAUUACCCCUAUUACAAUGGACUUUUUGGCAACGGUUCUAAAAGUGUUGCAAUAAACCAUUUAUUUCAACGGUUGUAACCGUUGCAAAAAAAAAGAAUUUUGGUAGAACUUUUUGUGGUAUAACCGUUGCUGUUGUUGAAGAACCG